UACGUAGGGCGCAAGCGUUGUCCGGAAUCAUUGGGCGUAAAGAGCUCGUAGGUGGUCUGUUACGUCUGCUGUGAAAUCCUAGGGCUUAACCCUGGGCCUGCAGUGGAUACGGGCAGACUAGAGGUAGGUAGGGGAGAAUGGAAUUCCCGGUGUAGCGGUGAAAUGCGCAGAUAUCUGGAGGAACACCGGUGGCGAAGGCGGCAUCCUGGACCGGUAUUGACGCUGAGGCGCGAAAGCCAGGGGAGCAAACGGG
rnacentral:rRNA from 1 species